GGGUGCGAUCAUACCAGCGUUAAUGCACCGGAUCCCAUCAGAACUCCGCAGUUAAGCGCGCUUGGGCCAGAGUAGUACUGGGAUGGGUGACCUCC
rnacentral:rRNA from 1 species